UUAAUUCAAAUUUGUAUGCAGUUGGAACGUUUGCGUACGUUUGCCGCUAGGGGCGCUGUUCGAACUGCAUAAAAAUUCGAGUUA
rnacentral:pre_miRNA from 1 species